rnacentral:pre_miRNA from 2 species
GAUGUACUCCCUCCGUCCUAAAUUACUUGUCUUAGAUUUGUCUAUAUAUGGAUGUAUCUAGACAUGUUUUAGUGUUAGAUACAUCCGUAUCUAGAUAAAUCUAAGACAAGUAAUUUGGGAUGGAGGGAGUAGGAG